GGUGAGGUGGCCGAGAGGCUGAAGGCGCUCCCUGCUAAGGGAGUAUGCGGUCAAAAGCUGCAUCCGGGGUUCGAAUCCCCGCCUCACCGCCA
rnacentral:tRNA from 5 species